rnacentral:rRNA from 1 species
UACGUAGGUGGCAAGCGUUGUCCGGAUUUAUUGGGCGUAAAGCGAGCGCAGGCGGUUCAUUAAGUCUGAUGUAAAAGGCAGUGGCUCAACCAUUGUAAGCAUUGGAAACUGGUGAACUUGAGUGCAGUAGAGGAGAGUGGAAUUCCAUGUGUAGCGGUGAAAUGCGUAGAUAUAUGGAGGAACACCGGAGGCGAAAGCGGCUCUCUGGACUGUAACUGACGCUGAGGCUCGAAAGCGUGGGGAGCAAACAGG